AUACGGAGGGUGCAAGCGUUACUCGGAAUCACUGGGCGUAAAGCGCGCGCAGGCGGGCUGAUAAGUUGGAUGUGAAAGCCUACGGCUCAACCGUAGAACUGCAUCCAAAACUGUCAGUCUAGAGUGUGGAAGAGGAAGAUGGAAUUAGUUGUGUAGGGGUAGAAUCCGUAGAGAUAACUAGGAAUACCAAAAGCGAAGGCAAUCUUCUGGAACACUACUGACGCUGAGGCGCGAAGGCGUGGGGAGCAAACAGGAUUAGAAACCCCAGUAGUCC
rnacentral:rRNA from 1 species